GUAAGAUUGACCAUCCAAGCCCAAUUAUUUAUUUUUUUAUUUAAUUUUAUGUACAAUAAGUAUUAAAUUAUUAUGUAAUAAUACUGUCAGUGUGAACAUGCACACUUUGAAUAAGCAUGGUUGUAGUGUGUGCUUGCAGACUUCUAUGAGAGUUGUGAGAGUUAAGACGUCAUUAAUUGUAUCACAUAAAAGAUUCACAUCCCCUGCUCAAUGGUUUGUACCAUUUCUGAACUUAUUAGAUUCUCGUGUCUGUAAAAUACUUGCAUGGAGUAGAAAUUAGUGAGGCUCCUUAAAUCUAUGUGCAUGUUUAAGGUAUAUUGAAAAGUGAUUUGUGAAGUGAAAAAUGAUCAAGCACAUAGAGAGCUUGACUUUUGUUGAGUAGAUGCUUUCGUUUUUCAUGGAACUUCCUCUCCCUUCGUGAGUAGAACUCUAUGAAGGUCAGGGAUUCGUGACCUUUUUGCUCCCGGUGAUGGAGAUUUUGUUGUUGUUAAUGGUGGCAUGGCUGUCCUCGUUCCUUUGUAUUUGGGAUACUACACUUGCUUUAUUAUUUUAUAAGUAUAUUCUGC
rnacentral:misc_RNA from 1 species